GUUGUGCAGUGCUUAUUCCACUGUAUUUCAUGUGUGCUGAAAACAUUCAGAAUGAGAAGGGUACUAAUAAUUUCACACCACUAAUAGAGAGUGCUGCCUCAUCACAAAGGGCACAGGUCUGAGAGGAAGGUGGGAGAGCAGGAAACCAGUCAAAUCAUCUGUCCAUAGUUGGUGAA